rnacentral:rRNA from 1 species
UACGUAGGGUGCAAGCGUUAAUCGGAAUUACUGGGCGUAAAGCGUGCGCAGGCGGUUUUGUAAGUCUUUCUUGAAAUCCCCGGGCUCAACCUGGGAAUGGCGAUGGUGACUGCAAGGCUAGAGUUUGGCAGAGGGGGGUAGAAUUCCACGUGUAGCAGUGAAAUGCGUAGAUAUGUGGAGGAACACCGAUGGCGAAGGCAGCCCCCUGGGUCAAAACUGACGCUCAUGCACGAAAGCGUGGGGAGCAAACAGG